rnacentral:rRNA from 1 species
UACAGAGGGUGCGAGCGUUAAUCGGAAUUACUGGGCGUAAAGGGCGUGUAGGCGGGUGAAUAAGUCAGAUGUGAAAUUCCUGGGCUUAACCUAGGGUUGUCAUAUGAUACUGUUCAUCUAGAGUGGAGUAGAGGGUAGUGGAAUUUCCGGUGUAGCGGUGAAAUGCAUAGAUAUCGGAAAGAACACCGGUGGCGAAGGCGGCUACCUGGACUCUAACUGACGCUGAGGCGCGAAAGCGUGGGGAGCAAACAGG